CCGAAUCACUACAAGCCAAUCAGUCAGCGGUGAUUUUUGUGGAACGGAUUUUGACUGGACCUUUACGCUACUCGAGGUCAAAUUUUUUGGUGGUUUGGAUUUUGUCCGAAGUGGUUGAUACUUAGAGUGUAAAAUAACACGAUGUUUCUUCAAGAAAUGCACUCGGAAUGCCGAAAAAGUACCCGACCGAAAAAUAAACUCAAGCUUGCAGGAUCAUUUCUUCGAAAUUCGGAGACGAUUCUUUCGUAAGAGAUCGACCGCACAUUACAUUAAUAGAGGAAAACGAGGGAGAAAAAAACUGAAAAGUUUCGUCAUUUUAAUCUUCACAUUUUUAAGAGAGAGAUGGAACUUUUGCGGUCAAAAAUAACAAAUGAAACUGUCGUCAAAAUAAAAAACGAAUGAGUGAUCGGUAUUUUAAAAACGGAGAGAAGAGAAAAGUCGGAGAAGGGGACGGGAAAAAAAGCGUUGACAGUUUUAACAAGGAGGCAAAAAUGACAUUUUUAUGAGGAAGACAGAAACGAGGCCGGAAGUGAGGAGAGUCCGACGUCAUUUCCUCUCUCCCUAAAACGACAUCUGGUGUGUCCAUAUUUCAUGAGUUUAGAUCUAAAAAUUCAACAGUCGUCUUCGUGUUUUUCCUUCUUUUUACGUAAGCGUUAUAAAAAAAAAAAAAAAAAAAAAGAGAGAGAGAGAGAGAGAAACUGGAAGAAAACUUGUACAGAUGUUGAAACGAAUUUGCUACAAAAAGAAGAAGACUUUUUGCAAACUUUGAAUAGUUGCUAAGCAACGUCCACGAUAUUCGCUCGGCAACGUGAUGCCACUUCAUCUUUCUCCAUAAUUACAUGGCCGAUCUAUUAAUAAGUUUCCGGUAGUUUGGCCUAAGUAUGAAAAAUCGAAUGGGAAAAGUAAUGAAAGUUAAAAUAUUCGAUUUUUGCGGAUCUUCUGAGCUGCACCUAGGGGCUCGCCCCCUUAAAGACCGGCCCCGACACCCGCUAGUUAGUUUCCUAAACAUCAAGAAAAAUUUGACAAACGAUCAGAUAUUCCCAAAGGCCGUUUUUUCUUAGAAAUAAAAUGCGCUUGGGAACCGUAAAUCAUUCUGAUAAAUUGAAAUUCGGACACUUCUAAAGAUCAAAAGGAAGGUUUUUAUGACUUGCUUUAAAUUCCUGGUAUCCAAUUGGAGUUUAUAGAUGCAAAAGUCAUCCAUCGAUGAUAACAAGUAUGAUGGAGUAUAAAAGAAAAUCGUAAAUAUAGUCGAAAUAACUCCAAGACAGAUGUAAAGAAUCGUCCUGAAAUAGGAUAUUCAAAAGUGAAAUAUUGGAGGCAACACCAAACUCCUUUCACAAAAAAAAAAAAUAUUAAAAAAAAAUAAAUAAAUAGAAAAAUGAAGACAAUUUAGAAGAAUUUUUUUAAGUAUGAAAAUUUCUUUUCGAUGAUUUCAUUUUAAUACGUGCUUUGUGAAUUUUAUUCCUAACUGAAAAUAAAUGGAGUUUUUUUCCCCUCCAUGUAUGCAAUAACAUGGAAAAAAAAGUAUAUAUAUUUGUUGAAUAAGCUACGAUUUAAUGUACAAUUAAUAAUUUAUAUAUAUGGUUAAUGAAAGAGCUUAUUUAAUUUGUAUAAAAGUCUGUUGAAUGAUUAUGUUUAAUUCCCAGAAUUUAUUUAAA